UACGGGGGGGGCAAGCGUUGUUCGGAAUUACUGGGCGUAAAGGGCUCGUAGGCGGCCAACUAAGUCAGACGUGAAAUCCCUCGGCUUAACCGGGGAACUGCGUCUGAUACUGGAUGGCUUGAGAUUGGGAGAGGGAUGCGGAAUUCCAGGUGUAGCGGUGAAAUGCGUAGAUAUCUGGAGGAACACCGGUGGCGAAGGCGGCAUCCUGGGCCGGUACUGACGCUGAGGAGCGAAAGCGUGGGGAGCGAACAGG
rnacentral:rRNA from 1 species